ensembl:lncRNA
AUGUUGACAGCGGGACUCACAGGUAAACUCAGGAAUGUGCUGGCUAACCUCAACAUGUUUUUCUCGGAUCAGAUGAAGCUGCAGGUUCUGAUUGACCUUAGUCUCAUGUUGGUCUUAGCGUCUGGCUCAAAAGAUCAGGAUUGGAAUAUUACAGUUCCUGAAUCCAUUAAUGCCACGUUGGGCUCAGAUGUGACCAUCAAGUGUACGUUUGACUAUCCAAAGAAAUAUUCCAAUGACAGUGUUCAAGUUUACUGGAAAAUGAAAGUGGCCAGCAACAUUACCAUCAAUGACCAGGACAAAAAUGCAUUCAUUUGUCACACAAAUGACUCGUUUGUGCUUACGGAGUACAGAAGAAGGACCCACCUCAUCAGAGAUGAAUCCAAUAAAAGUUGCUCCGUGAAGAUUCUGAAUGUCAGGCAUAACAUAAGUGACAUCUAUGUGAGAAUUGUCCUAACGACUGAAAAGUACAGUUUCAAAAAACACCUUGUUUCCAUUUUUGUGCUAGAUGAAGAUUCUUCGCCAACGUUGUAUGUGGUUGCCGCUGUACCAGCUUCUGCUGUCCUGAUCAUUAUUAUUAUUGUCUCUGGGUGUUUGUGCUACAGAAAACGCAGAAGGUCAAAGUCCAUCACCAGGGAGGAAUCUGGGUAUUAUGCCAAUUUUAGCAGAGCACCAUCAAACCCAGUCCAUAGUGAGGCAACGUGCAAAACACAUGACAACAGGAAACACCCGGAACCGAAGGUCAUAGAUGAAUCUGUGUACGUCAACACUGAGGUAAAACGCGUUUACCCACACAUCUCUUUACAGCAGAAGAUACCGUCUAAUCGCAUCUCCCUUUUCAGGCCAUUACAGCUCAGAUGGGUCAACGUCUAG